GCUUAACACAUGCAAGUCGAGGGGCAGCAUCAUCAAAGCUUGCUUUGAUGGAUGGCGACCGGCGCACGGGUGAGUAACACGUAUCCAACCUGCCGACAACACUGGGAUAGCCUUUCGAAAGAAAGAUUAAUACCGGAUGGCAUAAUUAUUCCGCAUGGGAUAAUUAUUAAAGAAUUUCGGUUGUCGAUGGGGAUGCGUUCCAUUAGGCAGUUGGCGGGGUAACGGCCCACCAAACCUACGAUGGAUAGGGGUUCUGAGAGGAAGGUCCCCCACAUUGGAACUGAGACACGGUCCAAACUCCUACGGGAGGCAGCAGUGAGGAAUAUUGGUCAAUGGACGAGAGUCUGAACCAGCCAAGUAGCGUGAAGGAUGACUGCCCUAUGGGUUGUAAACUUCUUUUAUACGGGAAUAAAGUGAGCCACGUGUGGCUUUUUGUAUGUACCGUAUGAAUAAGGAUCGGCUAACUCCGUGCCAGCAGCCGCGGUAAUACGGAGGAUCCGAGCGUUAUCCGGAUUUAUUGGGUUUAAAGGGAGCGUAGGCGGGUUGUUAAGUCAGUUGUGAAAGUUUGCGGCUCAACCGUAAAAUUGCAGUUGAUACUGGCGACCUUGAGUGCAACAGAGGUAGGCGGAAUUCGUGGUGUAGCGGUGAAAUGCUUAGAUAUCACGAAGAACUCCGAUUGCGAAGGCAGCUUACUGGAUUGUAACUGACGCUGAUGCUC
rnacentral:rRNA from 1 species